rnacentral:rRNA from 1 species
UACGAAGGGUGCAAGCGUUAAUCGGAAUUACUGGGCGUAAAGCGCGCGUAGGUGGUUUUGUAAGUUGGAGGUGAAAUCCCCGGGCUCAACCUGGGAACUGCCUCCAAAACUGCAUGACUAGAGUACGGUAGAGGGUGGUGGAAUUUCCUGUGUAGCGGUGAAAUGCGUAGAUAUAGGAAGGAACACCAGUGGCGAAGGCGACCACCUGGACUGAUACUGACACUGAGGUGCGAAAGCGUGGGGAGCAAACAGGAUUAGAUACCCCCGUAGUCC